CACGCCGGAAGUUGUCGGCGCCCGAGCCUACGGGGCAUGGUGCGGCUUUCUUGGUGCUGUGUUUGCAUCUCCGGUGGGGUCCCUGCUUUAGAUUUGUGUCUGGAAGACAGCAUCUGCUAGAAACCAACCCCAAGAUGGAAUGAGGCAUGCAAGUGCUUUAUCUGGAAAGCCUGGGAGGGACCAUCCUGAGGAAGGAGAGGUGGCCAGGUGGCCGGGUGAGCCAGCAGACCACGAUGAAGGUAUGACCCCUGCGAAGAACAAAGGGAAGGAGGAAGUUUGACCGCAGUUUUUUAAAGACCCCAUUGAGAUCAUGGUACCUUACACGCAGGUUUGUCUCUUAGGCCACACACACUUGUAGAGAUCAGCUUUAUUCAUUUUUGGAUCUCCUUCUCUUGGUACCUGACACAAGACACAUACUUGUGCCCUGGAAGGAAGACUCUUCCAUUCGAGACACGUAAUAGGGUGUGCGUGCAGCACCCAGCUAGGUGAAAGCACCCUGCACACACACCUCCGUGGACUGCACAGAUCCCUGAACCAGAAUGGGGAGAUUUAACAGAACGCAAUAGGGUCAAGUAUGAGAGUCGUUCUAACUUUGUCUGAGAACAGCACACACCCGUGUUCACCGAAUGUGCCACUUCUCUACAUCCCCAGCCCCCCUUGGGCAUACACUGGGGUCAUUCGAUUAGUUCUGGCUCACGAGCUGUACGUGAAGUACAGGUGCCUUUUUCUACAGAGCCGGCUAAGAGUGGAUAUCCUCUCUUUUCUUCCCCUGCUGCGGCAACCUUCAACUCUCCGUGCUGAGAUGGCACCCCAAGAUGACUGUCUACCCCUCUGCCUACCCCCUCCCACAUUUGCCUGCAAACCACUUUGGAAAUACAGCAACAGCAAACACAACACAAAGCAUGUAUACACAUCAGACAGGAUUAUGUGCUGUGUUAGGCCCGUGAGAAUUCAGGGGCUGUCAGCUGAGCAGAGCCAUCCGAAUAAUACACCCUGGUGUUCAUACGACUGUCUUUUCAAUGUGAGGGGACAGAAAGCACCAUGGCCAAAGCAAGCGGCAGUCGGUGUAAAAUUAAAGACCUUCAAGGGCCACGAGGUGGUGCUGUUUCGACAAGAAUCCUAAGACUGGUUAACUGCCUUUUGCAGCAAAUUAAGAGCUAGCAAAAUGGAUUCCUUCCCUCUUACGGCGUUAUAUGUGGCAUCACCCGACUAGUCUCGUUUCCAGAGAAAACAACCAUAUGUGCAGCUGCCUCUGCACAGUUCCAGAGUGAACACCACGUAGUUCCCGAAAGAACGAAUGGUGUUCACGAGCCAACCAGUUACUCUAAACUGUCUACAAAGCAACAGACUUCUCACUGACAUCUCUGCAGUGUGGAUUCACAUCGUUGUCUGCCAGUAAAGAAAGUUUAGCCUUUAACGUAACCAGUUGGGGCCAGAAUCUAUCCCUCUGUUGCCCAAUGGGUUAUUUUAUGUACAUAGGUUUAUUGUGAAUCCUGUAGCAGGAGGGGCUGCUUUUCUAGGAAAUCUAAUUUGUAACUAAACGAUCAGAUGGAAGUGACUAAGCCCUUCUGGCUCCUUCUCAUCUGAGGACUCAGCUCUGGGAGCAUUUCCUCUGGGUCCUACUGAUCUGGGUUAGGUGCUCGCGCUGGGUGCUGUAAUAGCACCACAGUGACAAUCAUUUCUCCAUGAUCCUGCGACUGGGCUUUGAGGUCCUGGAGAAUGUGGACCCGAAAAUACAAUAUAGCACAGCGGUUAUGGCCACAGGCUUAAGUCAGACAGACCUGCCGUCUAGUCUGGGCUCUGCAACUUCCCAGCCUUUCUAAUCCUCAAUUUCUGCAUCUGUGAAACAGAUAUUAUCUACUUCAUGAGUUGGUCACGAGAAUUUAAAGAAAUAAAGCACUGAGCCCAGUGCCUGGCACACAAUGAAUGCCCGACAAAUAGUAACCAUUAGUGAAAUGAGUCACCUUAAAAUCCUGAGUACCUGCCAUAUGGGAGGUACUAAAAAAACUAUUUCCUAAAUAAAUGAAAGAAUGGAGUAAAGCAACAGAAUGUUUUUUUUUUCAUAUAUGAUUUUAUUAUUUUAUUCAACUAUCAGAUGCUGAAGUUCUAAAUUGGCAACAUUUUCCUUUAAAAUAUUUCAUUAAGGGUUGAUAAUUAUUAAUACAACUAGAGAAUAUUGAUAAAAUUUAAUAAAGAUAACUGCAAUCAAGCUCUUUAUUUUUGUAAAAAAAUAACCGUUAUCCUAUGAUAUGCUGAGUUCUCAAGCACAACUGUCUACUGAGACCUAUUGCAGAUUUGUAGGGCAGCUGGGAGUGAAGUCCAUGGGCAGAGAAAUGGAACCGGGACUGUUCUUUUGAGUGUAAACUUGUAACUGAAAGCACUAGUCAGCUGAGGCUCUCCAGAGCACUUGAUUCUGGGCAUGAUAAAUCCAUCUACAAGCAGUUUGUACAAAGU